rnacentral:rRNA from 1 species
UACGUAGGUGGCAAGCGUUGUCCGGAUUUACUGGGCGUAAAGGAUGCGUAGGCGGAUAUUUAAGUCAGAUGUGAAAUACCCGAGCUUAACUUGGGUGCUGCAUUUGAAACUGGAUAUCUAGAGUGCGGGAGAGGAAAGUGGAAUUCCUAGUGUAGCGGUGAAAUGCGUAGAGAUUAGGAAGAACACCAGUGGCGAAGGCGACUUUCUGGACCGUAACUGACGCUGAGGCAUGAAAGCGUGGGGAGCAAACAGG